GACGAACGCUGGCGGCGUGCUUAACACAUGCAAGUCGAACGGAAAGGCCCUGCUUUUGUGGUGUGCUCGAGUGGCGAACGGGUGAGUAACACGUGAGUAACCUGCCCUUGACUUUGGUAUAACUUCAGGAAACUGGGGCUAAUACCGGAUAGGAGCUCCUGCUGCAUGGUGGGGGUUGGAAAGUUUCGGCGGUUGGGGAUGGACUCGCGGCUUAUCAGCUUGUUGGUUGGGUAGUGGCUUACCAAGGCUUUGACGGGUAGCCGGCCUGAGAGGGUGACCGGCCACAUUGGGACUGAGAUACGGCCCAGACGCCUACGGGAGGCAGCAGGGGGGAAUAUUGCACAAUGGGCGGAAGCCUGAUGCAGCAACGCCGCGUGCGGGAUGACGGCCUUCGGGUUGUAAACCGCUUUCGCCUGUGACGAAGCGUGAGUGACGGUAAUGGGUAAAGAAGCACCGGCUAACUACGUG
rnacentral:rRNA from 1 species